UAGCUAGUUGGUGAGGUAAAGGCUUACCAAGGCGACGAUCUGUAGCGGGUCUGAGAGGAUGAUCCGCCACACUGGAACUGAGACACGGUCCAGACUCCUACGGGAGGCAGCAGUGGGGAAUUUUGGACAAUGGGGGCAACCCUGAUCCAGCCAUGCCGCGUGAGUGAAGAAGGCCUUCGGGUUGUAAAGCUCUUUCGGCCGGGAAGAAAUCGCAUGGGCCAAUACCCUGUGUGGAUGACGGUACCGGAAUAAGAAGCACCGGCUAACUACGUGCCAGCAGCCGCGGUAAUACGUAGGGUGCGAGCGUUAAUCGGAAUUACUGGGCGUAAAGCGUGCGCAGGCGGUUUUGUAAGACAGGCGUGAAAUCCCCGGGCUUAACCUGGGAACUGCGUUUGUGACUGCAAGGCUAGAGUACGGCAGAGGGGGGUGGAAUUCCACGUGUAGCAGUGAAAUGCGUAGAGAUGUGGAGGAACACCAAUGGCGAAGGCAGCCCCCUGGGUCGAUACUGACGCUCAUGCACGAAAGCGUGGGUAGCAAACAGGAUUAGAUACCCUGGUAGUCCACGCCCUAAACUAUGUCAACUAGGUGUUGGGUGGGUAAAACCAUUUAGUACCGUAGCUAACGCGUGAAGUUGACCGCCUGGGGAGUACGGCCGCAAGGUUAAAACUCAAAGGAAUUGACGGGGACCCGCACAAGCGGUGGAUGAUGUGGAUUAAUUCGAUGCAACGCGAAAAACCUUACCUACCCUUGACAUGCCAGGAACUUGCCAGAGAUGGCUUGGUGCCCGAAAGGGAGCCUGGACACAGGUGCUGCAUGGCUGUCGUCAGCUCGUGUCGUGAGAUGUUGGGUUAAGUCCCGCAACGAGCGCAACCCUUGUCGUUAAUUGCCAUCAUUUGGUUGGGCACUUUAACGAGACUGCCGGUGACAAACCGGAGGAAGGUGGGGAUGACGUCAAGUCCUCAUGGCCCUUAUGGGUAGGGCUUCACACGUCAUACAAUGGUCGGUACAAAGGGUUGCCAAGCCGCGAGGCGGAGCCAAUCCCAGAAUGCCGAUCGUAGUCCGGAUUGCAGGCUGCAACUCGCCUGCAUGAAGUCGGAAUCGCUAGUAAUCGUGGAUCAGCAUGUCACGGUGAAUACGUUCCCGGGUCUUGUACACACCGCCCGUCACACCAUGGGAGCGGGUUCCGCCAGAAGUAGGUAGCCUAACCGCAAGGGGGGCGCUUACCACGGCGGGGUUCGUGACUGGGGUGAAGUCGUAACAAGGUAGCCGUAGGGGAACCUGCGGCUG
rnacentral:rRNA from 1 species